rnacentral:ncRNA from 3 species
UACGUAGGGUCCGAGCGUUGUCCGGAGUUACUGGGCGUAAAGCGCGCGCAGGCGGCCCGCCAAGACCGGCGUGAAAGCCCCCGGCUCAACCGGGGAGGGUCGUCGGUGACUGGCGGGCUCGAGGACGGCAGGGGUCGGUGGAAUGCCCGGUGUAGUGGUGAAAUGCGUAGAGAUCGGGCGGAACACCCGUGGCGAAGGCGGCCGACUGGGCCGGUCCUGACGCUGAGGCGCGAAGGCGUGGGGAGCGAACGGG